CUAAUUGCCGUCUUUAUAAUCGAGACAAUUCAUAAUUAAUCGUAAUUAUUGAUAAAUUUCAAAGCUAACUGAUAAUUACUGUAAUAAUAUAACCUGUACUAUUGUUACGGAUGAUCACUGAUAAUCUUCUGUGGAACAGAUUUUCUUCAGUAUCCUGUAAAUUUUCCUCAGUAACAUAUUCUAGGUAACCUGUUUUGUUAUAAAUGAUCACUGAUAAUCAAUAAAGCAACACGUUUUCUUCGUAUCGAGUUAAUUUUUCUCAAUAACAAACUCU